GCACUGCUGAGGAGUCCAAUACCAGGACGAAACGGCCGUGCAGUGC
rfam:Schistosoma mattheei strain Denwood, Zambia genome assembly, scaffold: SMTD_scaffold0000825